rnacentral:rRNA from 1 species
AGCUCUAAUAGCGUAUAUUAAAGUUGUUGCGGUUAAAAAGCUCGUAGUUGGAUUUUGGGCCCUCUACCGUCGGUCCGGUGUAAACCAGCACUGAUAGUGGGGGCCUUCUGUCUGGAAACGGCGUCUUCGUUCUUAAUUGGACGAUGCGGCGGGUCUAGGACUUUUACUUUGAACAAAUUAGAGUGUUUAAAGCAGGCAUCCGCCUUGAAUACAUUAGCAUGGAAUAACCGAAUAGGACUUUGGUCUUAUUUUGUUGGUUCUAAGGACCAAAGUAAUGAUUAAUAGGGAUAGUUGGGGGCAUUAGUAUUUAAUUGUCAGAGGUGAAAUUCUUAGAUUUAUGAAAGACUAACUUCUGCGAAAGCAUUUGCCAAGGAUGUUUUCA